CGGGUAGCGGAACACGUACGCAAUCUACCCAAAACUGAUGAAUAGCCCUCCGAAAGGAGGAUUAAUACAUCGUAACUUAAUGAAGUGGCAUCACUUUAUUAUUAUAGCUCCGGCGGUUUUGGAUGGGCGUGCGCCUGAUUAGGUAGUUGGUAGGGUAACGGCCUACCAAGCCAACGAUCAGUAACUGGUGUGAGAGCACGACCAGUCACACGGGCACUGAGACACGGGCCCG
rnacentral:rRNA from 1 species